CCUACGGGAGGCAGCAGUGAGGAAUAUUGGUCAAUGGACGAGAGUCUGAACCAGCCAAGUAGCGUGAAGGAUGACUGCCCUAUGGGUUGUAAACUUCUUUUAUAUGGGAAUAAAACAUGGUACGCAUACCCUCUUGUAUGUACCAUAUGAAUAAGGAUCGGCUAACUCCGUGCCAGCAGCCGCGGUAAUACGGCGGAUCCGAGCGUUAUCCGGAUUUAUUGGGUUUAAAGGGGGCGUAGGUGGAUUGUUAAGUCAGUGGUGAAAGUUUGCGGCUCAACCGUAGAAGUGCAGUUGAAACUGGCAGUCGUGAGUAGAGGAGAGGUAGGCGGAAUGCGUGGUGUAGCGGUGAAAUGCAUAGAUAUCACGAAGAACUCCGAUUGCGAAGGCAGCUCACUGGAGUGCAACUGACACUGAUGCUCGAAAGUGUGGGUAUCGAACAGGAUUAGAUACCCGAGUAGUC
rnacentral:rRNA from 1 species